rnacentral:rRNA from 1 species
GAUGAACGCUGGCGGCGUGCCUAAUACAUGCAAGUCGAGCGGACGGACGAGAAGCUUGCGUCUCGGAUGUUAGGGGCGGACGUGUGAGUAACACGUGGAAAACGUACCUAUAAUACUGGGAUAACUUCGUGAAACCGGAGCUAAUACCGGAGAAUAUUUUGAACCAUAUUGGUGAAGAGUGAAAUACGGUGUUGGGGGCAGUAAUAGAUGCAUCUGCGCUGCGUUAGCUAGUUGGUAAGGUAACCGCUUACGAAGGCAACGAUGCAUAGCCGCCAUCAUAGAGUGAUCGACCACCUCGGAAAUGGAACACGGUCCAGACUCCUACGGGAGGGAGCAGUAGGGAAUCUUACGCAAUAGUCGAAAGCUUGCCGCAGCAACGCCGCGUGAGUGAUGAAGGUCUUCGGCUCGUAAAACUCUGUUAUUAGGGAAGAACCUAUGUGUAAGUAAAUGUGCACAUAUUGACGGUACCUACUCAGAAAGCAACGGCUAACUACGUG